rnacentral:rRNA from 1 species
UACGGAGGGUGCGAGCGUUGUCCGGAAUCACUGGGCGUAAAGGGCGCGUAGGCGGUCUCUUAAGCGUGUGGUGAAAGCCCGGGGCUCAACUCCGGGUCGGCCGUGCGAACUGGGGGACUGGAGCUUGUCAGAGGCAGGCGGAAUUCCGGGUGUAGCGGUGGAAUGCGUAGAGAUCCGGAAGAACACCGGGUGGCGAAGGCGGCCUGCUGGGACAGUGCCUGACGCUGAGGCGCGACAGCGUGGGGAGCAAACAGG